GAGUUUAGACUCGUAGCAUAUAGCUCAGUAACACGUGGCCAAACUACCCUACAGGCCGCGAUAACCUCGGGAAACUGAGGCCAAUAGCGGAUAUAACUCUCACGCUGGAGUGCCGAGAGUUAGAAACGUUCCGGCGCUGUAGGAUGUGGCUGCGGCCGAUUAGGUAGAUGGUGGGGUAACGGCCCACCAUGCCGAUAAUCGGUACAGGUUGUGAGAGCAAGAGCCUGGAGACGGUAUCUGAGACAAGAUACCGGGCCCUACGGGGCGCAGCAGGCGCGAAACCUUUACACUGCACGACAGUGCGAUAGGGGGACUCCGAGUGCGAGGGCAUAUAGCCCUCGCUUUUCUGUACCGUAAGGUGGUACAGGAACAAGGACUGGGCAAGACCGGUGCCAGCCGCCGCGGUAAUACCGGCAGUCCAAGUGAUGGCCGAUAUUAUUGGGCCUAAAGCGUCCGUAGCUUGCUGUGUAAGUCCAUUGGGAAAUCGACCAGCUCAACUGGUCGGCGUCCGGUGGAAACUACACAGCUUGGGGCCGAGAGACUCAAC
rnacentral:rRNA from 1 species